rnacentral:rRNA from 1 species
UACCAAGAGAUCAAGUUAUGUAAAUUAAGGUAAAAAGGCAGUUAAAUACAAAACAGAACUGUUGAUUUGCUAAUUUUUUAUACAAAGGUAAAAUUUAGAUAUAAACAAAUAAUUUGAUGCAAGUCAGUUAAAAAUUGAAUCUGCGACAGCCUCGAGGGAAACUGGGAUUAGAUACCCCAUUAUUCUUGGCUAUAAAUGAAUAUAGAUUUACCAGAGUACUAUGAAUCAAUUUAAUAAAAUUUAAAACUCAAAGGGCUUGGCGGUGUUUUAGACCUCUCAGGGGAACCUGUCUCAUAAUCGACAAUCCACGUUAAACCUAACCUUUGUUUGCGAUUCAGUUUGUAUACCGUCGUCGUCAGGUAACUUUUAAAAAGUAAGAAGUUGGCAAAGGAAUUAUUUAAAUUUAAACGUCAGAUCAAGGUGCAGCUUAUACAGAGGUGAGGAUGGGUUACAAUUAAAAUUUAUAAUUACGAAUAGGAUAACGAAGUGUUUUUUUAGUGAAGGAGGACUUGAAAGUAAAGUAAACUAUACAAACGAUUUGAAUAAGGCUCUGAAACGUGC